GACGAGGAAAAUAGCUCAGCUGGUAGAGCAAACGACUGAAAAUCGUUGGGUCGCCGGUUCAAGUCCGGCCCUGGCCACCA
rnacentral:tRNA from 1 species